AGGAAACGAGGACGGGUUCGGGGAGAUGAGUCCCCCCGAGUCCUCCUCGGACAAAUAGGCUCA
rfam:Pteropus alecto contig61185, whole genome shotgun sequence.